AUGGGGGUAAAUUUAUACACCCGUAUUACUUUUACAGGUGUAUAUCACCAGCCAUAUGUGAUUUCCCACCGGAAAAGAAAACGGCCAAUUGAGGAUAAUUCUGCACACUGUUGGAUUUUCGAGAAACAGAAACUUGAAGAAAUUCCCGUGCACACAAAUUUUCAGGAGCUAAAAGAGUCAACAGAUCUAUCAGAAGUAUCUGAUCAAUGCUUUGGACUUCCAAUUGCACCAGGACAACUAAUGGUUGCUGUGGUCCGCACUUUGGAUCCAAAUCUGUUAGAUCAGAUGUAUCAAGCCAGGACACAAAAAGCAGUGGUUGAGUUCAUUUGGAUUGGUGGUCAGUUCCUUGGUCUUCCACUAGACAAGGGCAUUUAUAUCUGCAGUCCACAAUCUGGCACUAACUUCUUAUGGUGGGGAUCCAACAUAGUUUGGUCAUUGAAGAAAUAUGAAAAUGGUGAACGAGGACUGAUCUUAUGGGAUAUCAUAGUUGCGCAACAAGUGCUAAAGAAAUCCGCACCGACCUUUCUGGAAACGUUAAUGCAUAAAUGGGUCCCAAGUCUGCUUUCAUAUGAUCAGUGUGAUUCUAUCAUUAUCUCGCAUCGUUCGAGAAAUUACAUGAUAUCCAAGGCCAGCUUGCGGAAGUUACACUUGCUGAAUAUCGUUUGUAGGAAAGUAAUGCUUAGCGACCAUCUGCAGUAUUCUCCUGGUGGAGAAGAGGGUAACAAUGCGGCAACUGAUUUAUGGACCAAUCUUCUAGUGAGUAGCGAAACAGAGCUGCUGGAGAGGCUUUUGGCUUUCACUUUUGCUGCUGUCUUGGGUCGAAUAUCAUAUUUGCGGAAGGGUGUCUCUAAUGACAACCGGUGGUUUCCUGUUGGUAUUGCCCAGAUGGAUUCUUGGGUAUCUAUGAAUAGUGGAGAAGUGCACAAUGAGCUCAAGUCUCUGAAAUCGAGGAUCAAAGACUUAGGAAGCAGGAUCGACUCGGUGUGUGAAUAUUCGGUUGAAGAAACCUGCCCCUACUGCUCUGCGCCAGUGCCCUUCGAGUCACCUGAAGCAGCCUUGUGCGGGAGCGGGGUUCCUGAUACGGUCCCAGCUGAAAGGCACAGGCUGUCGAGGUGCGCAGCGUCGAUGCGCCUAUGCUCCGUCCUGCAACCAGCCUGGCACUGCGCAUGUUGCGGAGGAAUGGUUGAGAAACUGGUGCCGGAGGCCUUCUUCACCAUGACGGCAUCCCCUCUGGAUGCUGACAAUGACAGUGAAUCGCUUUGCUUAUCGUCACCUGCCGUUCCACUUUGCCCCUUCUGCGGCAUAGUGCUGCAGAGGUCGGCACCGGCGUUCCUGCUCUCCGUCUCCCCGUUGUAG
rnacentral:rRNA from 1 species